UUGGAGGGCAAGUCUGGUGCCAGCAGCCGCGGUAAUUCCAGCUCCAAUAGCGUAUAUUAAAGUUGUUGCAGUUAAAAAGCUCGUAGUUGAAUUUCGGGGUUCUACCGUUGGUCGGGCUUUGUCUGUACUGGCGUGUGAAUUUCUACCUUCUGGGGAACAUCAUGUUAUUAAUUUAACGUGGUGGGAAACCAGGACCUUUACCUUGAAAAAUUAGAGUGUUCAAAGCAGGCUUAGUGUCAAAUACAUUAGCAUGGAAUAAUAAAAUAGGACGGUGGUCCUG
rnacentral:rRNA from 1 species